GUUGAUUGAAGAAGUGUGAAUCCACUGGAAGAGGAACCAAACUCAGAUGGGUGUUUUCUCCCUGGGGAUGAAGAUGAGCUACUAGCAGGCCUAAUGGAUGAUUUUGAUCUUAGUGGGUUGCCAACUCAGCUGGAGGACUUGGAAGAUGAUUUUUUUGGCAGUGGCGGAGGACUAGAAUUGGAAUCUGAGACUCUUGAUAAUUCACUUAAUGGUUUUGCAAAAUUAAGCAUGUCUGAUGGUAUUCUUGGAAGUAUUGUUGGACAUCAUGUCUUCUCAAACAGUGCUGGAACUGUUACGGGAGAACACCCGUACGGAGAGCAUCCUUCUAGGACACUGUUUGUUCGGAAUAUUAACAGCAAUGUAGAGGACUCCGAGCUGCAAUCUCUCUUUGAGCAAUAUGGUGAUAUCAGAACUUUGUACACUUCAUGCAAGCAUAGGGGUUUCGUGAUGAUAUCUUACUAUGAUAUCCGAGCUGCUCGAACCGCAAUGCGUAUGCUGCAACAUAAGCCUCUAAGACGGAGAAAGCUAGACAUUCAUUUUUCAAUUCCUAAG
rnacentral:misc_RNA from 1 species